UACGAAGGGGGCUAGCGUUGCUCGGAAUCACUGGGCGUAAAGGGUGCGUAGGCGGGUCUUUAAGUCAGGGGUGAAAUCCUGGAGCUCAACUCCAGAACUGCCUUUGAUACUGAAGAUCUUGAGUUCGGGAGAGGUGAGUGGAACUGCGAGUGUAGAGGUGAAAUUCGUAGGUAUUCGCAAGAACACCAGUGGCGAAGGCGGCUCACUGGCCUGAUACUGACGCUGAGGCACGAAAGCGUGGGGAGCAAACAGG
rnacentral:rRNA from 1 species